UGUGAAAAAGGCAACUCCAUCGCAAGGUGGACGCGCAAAGUCACCGGUCCGAAAGGGUUCGCGCCCUGGACAGCGGGACUGCCGAAU
rfam:Desulfuromonas soudanensis strain WTL chromosome, complete genome.